rnacentral:rRNA from 1 species
UACGGAGGGUGCAAGCGUUGUUCGGAAUUAUUGGGCGUAAAGCGCGUGUAGGCGGCUAUUUAAGUCUGAUGUGAAAGCCCGGGGCUCAACCUCGGAAGUGCAUUGGAAACUGAAAGACUUGAGUAUUGGAGAGGCAAGUGGAAUUCCUAGUGUAGCGGUGAAAUGCGUAGAUAUUAGGAGGAACACCGGUGGCGAAGGCGGCUACCUGGACCGAUACUGACGCUGAGACGCGAAAGCGUGGGGAG